UCCUUGGGGUUCGAGGAGGAGCGGUCGUUCGAUGGCUGGAAAUUACAAACCACCUGUGGCUGACCUGAAAUCUAUAAGGCUUACUCGGCGAGGCUUCCUCCAGAGUAACUGAGCCACGAGUGCUAAUGUUUAUUGUACGUGCAAAAUUCCCCCACUUCGGACUACUCCCGCGACUGCAUUUGCGCCUGACAACAUAAACCCCGCUCCGUGAAAGUGCACGCGUCGGUUCAUGCACAAUAACGCGACACACAUUAAGCAAGCCAAUUCAGGGUUGUGUUUUGACAAGGCCAAAUCAAUCAAACAAAAAAACAUGUACACCUUUGCUUUUUGUGCCUUGAAGAGUAAGCUGCAUGACUUCAUUUCACUUCUGAUUGAAAAUCAACCCAUUUCAGUUCAUUGACAUGAAGGAAAUCAGUAAUAUGAGAAAUGCUUCCUUUCUACUCCUGGCCAUGAGUUUAAGGAUAACUUGCUGACUAUACCCACAUGCUAAGUUUAUGUGAAAGGCCAAAUCAUAACAAGGCUGAACUGGAGAAAAAACAAGGUCUCGAUAUACUUCAAAUGAUUGUGACCAAUGCUUCUG